UACGAAGGGGGCUAGCGUUGUUCGGAAUUACUGGGCGUAAAGCGUGCGCAGGCGGUUCGCUGUGUCCGAUGUGAAAGCCCCGGGCUUAACCUGGGAAUGGCAUUGGAAACUGGCGGGCUUGAGUGCGGCAGAGGGGGGUGGAAUUCCGCGUGUAGCAGUGAAAUGCGUAGAGAUGCGGAGGAACACCGAUGGCGAAGGCAGCCCCCUGGGUCGACACUGACGCUCAGGCACGAAAGCGUGGGGAGCAAACAGG
rnacentral:rRNA from 1 species